UACGGGGGGGGCAAGCGUUGUUCGGAAUUACUGGGCGUAAAGGGCUCGUAGGUGGCCAAUUAAGUCAGACGUGAAAUCCCCAGGCUUAACCUGGGAACUGCGUCUGAUACUGGUUGGCUUGAAUUCGGGAGAGGGAUGCAGAAUUCCAGGUGUAGCGGUGAAAUGCGUAGAUAUCUGGAGGAAUACCGGUGGCGAAGGCGGCAUCCUGGACCGAGAUUGACACUGAGGAGCGAAAGCAUGGGGAGCGAACGGG
rnacentral:rRNA from 1 species